UACGGAGGAUGCGAGCGUUAUCCGGAUUUAUUGGGUUUAAAGGGUGCGUAGGCGGGCUGUUAAGUCAGCGGUCAAAUGUCGGGGCUCAACCCCGGCCUGCCGUCGGAACUGGGUGCCUUGAGUGCGCGGAAGGCAGGCGGAAUUCGUGGUGUAGCGGUGAAAUGCUUAGAUAUCACGAAGAACCCCGAUUGCGAAGGCAGCCUGCCGCAGCGUUACUGACGCUGAAGCUCGAAAGCGCGGGUAUCGAACAGG
rnacentral:rRNA from 1 species